AUGCACGCUGGCGGCGUGCUUCACACCUGCAAGUCGCACGAUGAAGCCCAGCUUGCUGGGUGGAUUAGUGGCGAACGGGUGAGUAACACGUGAGUAACCUGCCCUUGACUCUGGGAUAAGCCUGGGAAACUGGGUCUAAUACCGGAUAGGAACGUCCACCGCAUGGUGGGUGUUGGAAAGAUUUAUCGGUCAUGGAUGGACUCGCGGCCUAUCAGCUUGUUGGUGAGGUAAUGGCUCACCAAGGCGACGACGGGUAGCCGGCCUGAGAGGGUGACCGGCCACACUGGGACUGAGACACGGCCCAGACUCCUACGGGAGGCAGCAGUGGGGAAUAUUGCACAAUGGGCGAAAGCCUGAUGCAGCGACGCCGCGUGAGGGAUGACGGCCUUCGGGUUGUAAACCUCUUUCAGUAGGGAAGAAGCGAAAGUGACGGUACCUGCAGAAGAAGCACCGGCUAACUACGUG
rnacentral:rRNA from 1 species